rnacentral:rRNA from 1 species
UGGGGAAUAUUGCACAAUGGGCGCAAGCCUGAUGCAGCCAUGCCGCGUGUAUGAAGAAGGCCUUCGGGUUGUAAAGUACUUUCAGCGGGGAGGAAGGGAGUAAAGUUAAUACCUUUGCUCAUUGACGUUACCCGCAGAAGAAGCACCGGCUAACUCCGUGCCAGCAGCCGCGGUAAUACGGAGGGUGCAAGCGUUAAUCGGAAUUACUGGGCGUAAAGCGCACGCAGGCGGUUUGUUAAGUCAGAUGUGAAAUCCCCGGGCUCAACCUGGGAACUGCAUCUGAAACUAGCAGGCUUGAGUCUCGGAGAGGGGGGUAGAAUUCCAGGUGUAGCGGUGAAAUGCGUAGAGAUCGGGAGGAAUACCGGUGGCGAAGGCGGCCCCCUGGACGAAGACUGACGCUCAGGUGCGAAAGCGUGGGGAGCAAACAGG